rnacentral:lncRNA from 1 species
UUCAGAGAAGCACCGGAUAGCAAGAAAUGAAUCACUCAUGAUUGAAAACAAAUUCAAGAUGAUAACACAAAGCUAAAAUGACGAAUAUCCAAGAGAAUAGACCAAUAUUUGAGAGAAAAACUCCUUCGAAUUACAAGCUGAGGAUGAUGACGAGAAACAACACCACGAAUAACUGAGACACUCCGGAAUAAGGACGAAUGAAAGGUUGAUCCAAAGAAUGAGAAUUAAUUCAAAUAGCUCUUGGAGAAGGGAUAUGACUGAUGAAAUUCAUACUUACGUCAUAGUUGAAAAGAUUUAGAGAUCUCCGGAAAGAUUAUGGAGCUAUAUAAGAUCGUGGGAAAAACCUGCGGGAUAUGGGCCCACUCGAAGAAACCACCGUUGAAGGGAUUGCUUAGAAAGAGAGAUGUUGCACCGGUACAAAUGAAAACUUGAUGAGGAUAGCACCUCGAAAUAAUUGCAAGAAUGAGAAUCGGGACUUCCGAAAUAUCUUCAACACUCCGGAUAGAAUAGAGAGGAAAGAAUAACAAGAUAGGCUGAUAAGAAUCUCCAACAUAGGAAAAAAAAUUACAAGGACGAAAAGGAUAUGAUGAACACAAACAACUGAAUUGAAUUCACCGGUAAGG